rnacentral:lncRNA from 1 species
GAUGUUGGUGAACGCGGUACUAUCGAUAAUACUAUCGUAUUUUUGCAAUUCUAUUGCAAUUAUUAUUAUUUCAAUUCAAUUAAAUUAUAGCAUUGAAGUACCCUACAGAAAAUAUGUCUAAUUUUUUUAAAACAGAUCCCUAAGCGUUUUUCUUAAAACCCGCGUUCAUAAGCAAAAGCUUCAUGAAAGUGAACUUCACCGAGAAGAACAAGAUUAAAGAGAGCAAUAGUAAACAACAAGUGUCGUCGUCGAUAAGCGUAAUGCGAAGUAGUAAAAGUAAACGCAUCAUCAGUUUAUCUAGAAAAGAUAACAUUGAUUCCCGGGAUGAUAUUCUUUCGAAAAGUGGACUACAGUUCUGUCGAAAAGCCCAACGGCUUCAUUAAGUCGACGAUUUCCUCAGUGACGGACAUGGCGACAUGAACUCAUAAUAACUUGAAGCUCACCCAAAUUGAUAGCAAUCCAGCGGACUUAAGCGCAGUGAUCUAAAGACUCAAGAUAAAGAAUUCGAGACGUUUGAGACAUAUUCAAAGCCUUUGGUGAGCUGUAUUCCUUACGUAUUCACAUCGUGACUUUGGCUUUGUUGACUAAAUCUCCAAGUAGAGUCCGAAAGCGCCUUCAACACUUUUAGAGCCAGUACUCAUUUCUACUGCCGUCAAUUGGUGCUUGAGUAGAGCGCCAAAGAUAAACAACCUGGGCGUGGAGGAGCAUUGCAAACAGACGGUGAUCUAAUUCGGCGCCAGUCUGGCAGCCUAUUCGCCGAAACGCGGUUAAAAAUCCCUCUUCGUUGUAGAGGGAUAAGUGCAGUCAAAUCAAGAGGACGAGGAAAAGCAAUAAUAUCCAGGCCUAGCUUGAAAAUGUAUAAAGUAGACAAUAUAAUUUUUAAAAUAUUCAUAUAAAAAAAACUGCCCUGAAACAUAAUUACAAUGCCUGAAUGAUAAUCUCGAAGCCCUAUAGCAAUAUCU